ACAUUUCCCUCCUCAAGUCUUGUUUUGAAUUCUUCCAAAUUUCUCCCAUUGAGUGUAAUCCUUAUCUGAUGUGAGACAUCAUAGGCAUAUUACGCUUCCAUAGCACCACUAUUUCUUCAUGGGGAACUCUGCAAUGACCAGUUAGGAAUGAAGUUUUUGGGAGCUUCUAAAUCAAGAUCCAGGGUUAAUGGUUUAGAUGUUUUUCCAAGAUGAAUCCUACAGCAUGCUGAAAACAGACUGGAGAAGGAGCAAAUAAUGAAAGAACAAAGAGCAGCUUCAGAAGAGGCAUUUUCUCAGAAGCAAAAUGGCUAUAGAUUCAGAAAGCAAAAAUGAAAUUUGGACCUCUACAAGAGCAAGAACCAUGGUCUAUGGACCUUCAAUUGUCCUAGGUACCUAUCCAGUGUCAUAGAGUUCUCCAAAUGAAUGGACAUUCAGCAAUACAAUUAGCAAGGCCAUAUUGGUAUGUUUAUAUUGAAUUUAAAGCCUUUGGGAUACCUUGGAAAUUCUCUGUACUCUUCUUUUUUUAUUUAUAGUCUGCACAUAAGUAUGCUCUCCACCUUAGAAUAGCUCUGUUGAUCAAAAUGUGCUUUGAUGUGGGGGUAAUA